GCGUUAACGAACGAGACCUCGACCUGCUAAAUAGUUCAGCGAAUCCUUCGGGAUUCGUUCCAAUUUCUGUAACUUCUUAGAGGGACUAUCGGUGAUUUAGCCGAUGGAAGUUCGAGGCAAUAACAGGUCUGUGAUGCCCUUAGAUGUUCUGGGCCGCACGCGCGCUACACUGAUACGUUCAUCGAGCUUACAACCUUGGUUGAGAGGCCUGGGUAAUCUUUUGAAACCGUAUCGUGCUGGGGAUAGAUUAUUGUAAUUUUUAAUCUUCAACGAGGAAUUCCUAGUAAACGCUGGUCAUCAGCCAGCAUUGAUUACGUCCCUGCCCUUUGUACACACCGCCCGUCGCUAGUACCGAUUGAAUGGAUG
rnacentral:rRNA from 1 species